CCUGAUCUAAUAAACAGACCCUGGUCUCAGCAGGACUUCCUGAUCUAAUAAACAGACCCUGGUCUCAGCAGGACUUCCUGAUCUAAUAAACAGACCCUGGUCUCAGCAGGACUUCCUGAUCUAAUAAACAGACCCUGGUCUCAGUAGGACUUCCUGAUCUAAUAAACAGACCCUGGUCUCAGCAGGACUUCCUGAUCUAAUAAACAGACCUUGGUCUCAGUAGGACUUCCUGAUCUAAUAAACAGACCCUGGUCUCAGUAGGACUUCCUGAUCUAAUAAACAGACCCUGGUCUCAGCAGGACUUCCUGAUCUAAUAAACAGACCCUGGUCUCAGCAGGACUUCCUGAUCUAAUAAACAGACCCUGGUCUCAGUAGGACUUCCUGAUCUAAUAAACAGACCCUGGUCUCAGUAGGACUUCCUGAUCUAAUAAACAGACCCUGGUCUCAGUAGGACUUCCUGAUCUAAUAAACAGACCCUGGUCUCAGUAGGACUUCCUGAUCUAAUAAACAGACCCUGGUCUCAGCAGGACUUCCUGAUCUAAUAAACAGACCCUGGUCUCAGUAGGACUUCCUGAUCUAAUAAACAGACCCUGGUCUCAGUAGGACUUCCUGAUCUAAUAAACAGACCCUGGUCUCAGCAGGACUUCCUGAUCUAAUAAACAGACCCUGGUCUCAGUAGGACUUCCUGAUCUAAUAAAGGAUAAAUCAAACAGGCAGCAGACAUCAUAGCAAUAAGUCUCACAGGGAUGUACUAGGGAAUAUAAAGGACAAGAAGGCUGGAAUAGUUUAAACCUGCAACACCACGUCUGACCAGAAGAGGGGGCUGUGGUGGAGUUGAGCAGAUUUGAGUCAUUUUAAAAACCAGCUGUGUUGAGCAGGUUGUUACAUUGAACACACCCACUGUAUAGAAACUCAUUUAUUCUCUGUAAAUAGUGCCUAUUUAUAUUCCAUCCCCAAUCCCAUACCAACCAAAGCUGCCUUUUUUCAACUUUUGAAACAACUUAAAGCGUAUAGUAUUUUUGAAGUAAAAACAACUGGCGAACCUGUUUUUAAUUUGUAAAGAUAACAGGGAAAAGCUGGAGAUUCUCUUCUGAUGAUCUGAGGUGAUUGUCUUCUCUCACGUCUGACCGACAGAACCUGUUACAGAUGGUGACCCCUGACCUAUCCGGUUACAGAUGGUGACCCCUGACCUAUCCUGUUACACAUGGUGACCCCUGACCUAUCCUGUUACACGUGGUGACCCCUGACCUAUCCUGUUACAGAUGGUGACCCCUGACCUAUCCUGUUACACGUGGUGACCCCUGACCUAUCCUGUUACAGAUGGUGACCCCUGACCUAUCCUGUUACAGAUGGUGACCCCUGACCUAUCUUGUUACACGUGGUGACCCCUGACCUAUCCUGUUACACGUGGUGACCCCUGACCUAUCCUGUUACACGUGGUGACCCCUGACCUAUCCUGUUACACUGACUCUGUAUCGCUAUAUUUACCUAACACUCUCUCGUUACUAGUGUAACCCUGGAGAUUCUCUUCUGAUGAUCUGAGGUGAUUGUCUUCUCUCACGUCUGACCGACAGAACCUGUUACAGAUGGUGACCCCUGACCUAUCCGGUUACAGAUGGUGACCCCUGACCUAUCCUGUUACACGUGGUGACCCCUGACCUAUCCUGUUACCUGUUCGGUGUGCUCUCUCUCGUUACUAGUGUAACCCUGAACUGUGGUUCCUCUCUUUGGCUCUGUCUGAAAUGGCACUCUCUUCCCUCCAUUUGGUUUAUUUAACAACAAAUCAGUUAAUUAAGACAUACUUGUUUACAAUGACAGCCUACCCCCCGGGGCCAAACCCGAACGACGCUGGGACAAUUGUGCGCUGCCCUAUGGGAUACAGCCUGGAUUCGAACCAGGGACUGUAGUGACGCCUCUUGCACUGAGAUGUAAGUGCACUACUUUAGACCAGAGCCCCAUGGAACCCUCUUUCCUAUGGACCCUGGUUUAUAGUAGUGCCCUCUAUAGGGUGCCAUUUUAGGUUGCACACUUUGACCCAUCUCCUGGUUAGUGGACAUACAGAUCUGUUAUGUAAUGGGUUAGAGGUCCUUUAUGUAUUAAUCUGUGUAUUAAUCUGUCUUGGGUUAGAGAUUCUUUAUGUAUUAAUCUGUCUUGGGUUAGAGGCUCUUUAUGUAUUAAUCUGUCUUGGGUUAGAGGUCCUUUAUGUAUUAAUCUGUCUUGGGUUAGAGGUUCUUUAUGUAUUAAUCUGUCUUGGGUUAGAGGUCCUUUAUGUAUUAAUCUGUCUUGGGUUAGAGGUUCUUUAUGUAUUAAUCUGUCUUGGGUUAGAGGUCCUUUAUGUAUUAAUCUGUCUUGGGUUAGAGAUUCUUUAUUUAUUAAUCUGUCUUGGGUUAGAGGUCCUUUAUGUAUUAAUCUGUCUUGGGUUAGAGGUCCUUUAUGUAUUAAUCUGUCUUGGGUUAGAGGUCCUUUAUGUAUUAAUCUGUCUUGGGUUAGAGGUCCUUUAUGUAUUAAUCUGUCUUGGGUUAGAGGUCCUUUAUGUAUUAAUCUGUCUUGGGUUAGAGGUCCUUUAUGUAUUAAUCUGUCUUGGGUUAGAGGUCCUUUAUGUAUUAAUCUGUCUUGGGUUAGAGAUUCUUUAUGUAUUAAUCUGUCUUGGGUUAGAGGUCCUUUAUGUAUUAAUCUGUCUUGGGUUAGAGGUCCUUUAUGUAUUAAUCUGUCUUGGGUUAGAUUCAUAAUGUAUUCAUCUGUCUUGGGUUAGAGGCUCUUUAUGUAUUAAUCUGUGUAUUAAUCUGUCUUGGGUUAGAGGCUCUUUAUGUAUUAAUCUGUCUUGGGUUUGUACAGUUAUAUUGCUGAAUGGUAAUCUUCAUAACGUUUCCCUCCUAACACUUUGUUCUCUGUGUUUGGAGCUCCUGGUCAUGAAUGUGUACGGCUUGAUUUAUUGACAGUGGGCAGCCUCCCAAAUCACACCCUAUGCCCUUUACAGUGAACUGCGUUUAACCAGACUAGUGCACUAUAUAGGGAAUAGGGUGCCGUUUUAGGGCCGCAGGCGGUGUGAUUUUUAAAGGAUGUUUUUUGACUUGUCUUUGUUCUACACUGUUUUGAUUGGAGCGGUUUAAAGGUUGAAGUCAAUUCCUUCCUAGUCGGCGUUCCAGGCCGACUACGUUACAGACGCAUUGCAUCCACCCAUUGUUCUGCACCACGUCAUCGAGUGGCACAAUCGGGCCUCAGAUUGCUAUGUAAUAGGAUGUGGUUAGGUGUUUAACAGCUAUCUAGGCAGGCAUCUGCAGUGUAGUCGUCCUGGAACGUGUCCGAUGUGUUCCUUCCUGUUACUAGUGAGUGUUAUGUUAAACACCUGACCACAUCCUAUCUAGGCAGGCAUCUGCAGUGUAGUCGUCCUGGAACGUGUCCGUUGUGUUCCUUCCUGUUACUAGUGAGUGUUAUGUUAAACACCUGACCACAUCCUAUCUAGGCAGGCAUCUGCAGUGUAGUCGUCCUGGAACGUGUCCGUGUUCCUUCCUGUUACUAGUGAGUGUUAUGUUAAACACCUGACCACAUCCUAUCUAGGCAGGCAUCUGCAGUGUAGUCGUCCUGGAACGUGUCCGUGUUCCUUCCUGUUACUAGUGAGUGUUAUGUUAAACACCUGACCACAUCCUAUCUAGGCAGGCAUCUGCAGUGUAGUCGUCCUGGAACGUGUCCGUGUUCCUUCCUGUUACUAGUGAGUGUUAUGUUAAACACCUGACCACAUCCUAUCUAGGCAGGCAUCUGCAGUGUAGUCGUCCUGGAACGUGUCCGUUGUGUUCCUUCCUGUUACUAGUGACUGUUAUGUUGCAUGUUCUUUUCUGAACCGGUGUCUGGCUCGUAGGACUGUAGUUUUAACUGAACCGGUGUCUGGCUCGUAGGACUGUAGUUUUAACUGAACCGGUGUCUGGCUCGAAGGACUGUAGUUUUAACUGAACCGGUGUCUGGCUCGUAGGACUGUAGUUUUAACUGAACCGGUGUCUGGCUCGAAGGACUGUAGUUUUAACUGAACCGGUGUCUGGCUCGUAGGACUGUAGUUUUAACUGAACCGGUGUCUGUAGUUGUAGUUUAGUGAUUCUCUGCAUGCAUGUGUUUUAUUAAUUGUCUACAAUCAGAGCAGCAACGUGCUAAGGGAACCCUGCCUCCUACAUAGUGCAUCACUUUAGACUAGAGCCAUCUGGGCUUCCCCAUCCGGGCUUCCUCACCUGGGCUUCCCCACCUGGGUUUCCCCACCCGGGCUUCCUCACCUGGGCUUCCCCACCUGGGCUUCCCCAUCUGGGCUUCCCACCUCGGCUUCCCCACCUGGGUUUCCCCACCUGGGCUUCCUCACCUGGGCUUCCUCACCUGGGCUUCCCCAUCUGGGCUUCCCCAUCCGGGCUUCCUCACCUGGGCUUCCCCACCUGGGUUUCCCCACCUGGGCUUCCUCACCUGGGCUUCCUCACCUCGGCUUCCCCAUCCGGGCUUCCUCACCUGGGCUUCCCCACCUGGGUUUCCCCACCUGGGCUUCCUCACCUGGGCUUCCCAAUUUUCCCUGGUCUAAAGUAGUGCAGUAUGAAGGGAAUAGGGUGCGUUUGUGAUGUUAACUGUUGUGUUUUUCUACUGGCUGUACAAUUUGAUAUUCUUUCCCAUUCUGGGUCGUCAACAACACACAGGUCUGGAACUAUUUUAAUGAAGAGGUCUCUAUCAGAGAAACUAUGUUGUAUCCCCUAUGCCAUCCUAUUCCCUAUAUAGUACACUACUUUUGGCCCGGUCAGGCGAGGGACAACAGUGGUUUGUAAUGACAUUGGGGAGUUGAGAGAGAGCUGGAGAUCAGCCACAUGUCUGUCACUCUGGCGUGUGUCUAGUGUGACGCCAGAUGUGCCUGUAAAUACAUUGUGAAGAGAUUUGUUUUUAUGGGGAAGAAUAAAGUUUUCAAU